ensembl:lncRNA
CGAGUGUGGAGCUUUUAUUUCAGUUAUCUUGUGUCUUGCUGCUGGUGACCGGGUAACUCGGUCUACACGCGGUGUAACGGUGCGGGUCGAGUCGUGGCAUGGAUUCCACAACCUCUCACUGACCACAGACUGUCUGCCAUUUUGUUUUUCAGAAUUUUUACAAUUUAUUUUCAGCUAAAGAAAGUGUGUGCUCGGGGUGAAGAGAAUCCCGAGUGAAGGAACGCAGCCCUCAUGAUGAUGAUGAUGAUGAUGAUGAUGGUGGUGGUGGGCAAAGCGCUACAAGCUCGAGCACCGCCUCGUCGAAACCUUUGCCCCGUGCAAGCUGCGCUGUGUGGAGGAUCAGGAGAACUUCUGAGGAGCGAGCUGGAUGAUGAACCAGACAUGAUCUCGCUUCUCAAGCCUUAAUGUGAGAACCUGCUGAAGAACAUGUGCAAGAACAAAGAACUGUAACGUCUCAAAUGUACAUCAGACUGCGUGUUUUAAUACUGUCUGUCCGUGUCCUCAAGAUUUACUGGAAGUUUUUUUUUUUACAUUUAUUUUUUUAUUGCCUUGCUCAUCCUGACUCUCGUAAUUCGCUCCGUAACUUUACGCAGAGCCGUGAGUUAUGAGCAUGAGCAACGAGGCCGUCUGCUGGCGUACCCGGCACCGUGUUUAGAAGUGUUUACAGCUGUGCCAGAUGUUGAUUAUGUUUAAGUGCACAUUUCACAAAGGAAGAGUUUAAAGUGUUUGUCCGAGGGACGGUCGUGUAAAGGCCCGACGCGUGAGAGAUUGAGAAGAUGGGCCUUUUUGUUCUCACUCCUUGUUUUUUUUGGUGUAAAUAUAAUGUUGUAAAUUAUUACAUUAACCCUUUUAUUUAUGUUUCAUUGUCGACAUCUUGCUGUUCAGGAUAGUGUUCUCCCUAAAACAUGUGUUCUGUCGUGUUUCUGAGCCAUUUUUGUCACUUCACUGUCCUAAAAUGUUUUGCUGUACUUUGUAGUAUCAUGUGUACGUGUGUGUUCAACACUUCCUGUGUUUUUUUUUUUUUCUUCUUUUCUGUAAUUAACAUUAAAGCUCUGCACAUGCAGGAUCAUGUCUAAGACCAGAGCAUCAUUAUAUUAUCAACCAAAAGCACAGUGCACAAAACUAUACAGGUCAAGGGCUUCAGCUGCCGAGCUUCUGGGAUUUAAA